UGGGGAAUUUUGCACAAUGGGGGAAACCCUGAUGCAGCGACGCCGCGUGAUUUAGAAGGCCUUCGGGUUGUAAAAAUCUUUUCUAUGGGAAGAAAAUGACAGUACCAUAGGAAUAAGGACCGGCUAAUUACGUGCCAGCAGCCGCGGUAAUACGUAAGGUCCGAGCGUUGUCCGGAAUUAUUGGGCGUAAAGGGCUUGUAGGCGGCUUGUUGCGCCUGCUGUGAAAACGCGGGGCUUAACUUCGCGCGUGCAGUGGGUACGGGCAGGCUUGAGUGUGGUAGGGGUGACUGGAAUUCCAGGUGUAGCGGUGGAAUGCGCAGAUAUCUGGAGGAACACCGAUGGCGAAGGCAGGUCACUGGGCCAUUACUGACGCUGAGGAGCGAAAGCAUGGGUAGCGAACAGG
rnacentral:rRNA from 1 species